UUUUAUAGAGGUUAGACAAGUUUCAGAUAUUUUAUACAAGCAAACCAGUCUUUUGGCUUAAUGUUCUAGUGGUGCCAAUACCUCCCUUCCAAGGUAAAAAAAAAUCUUUUUUAAAUAAUUUACAAAACCUUAUUAUAUAUUGCAUUGAAAAUUCUAUUCCAUUUUGUUGUUCACAUGAUGAACAAUUAUUUUUUUCAUUCCAAUAUUAAUCAUCUUUUUAUAUAGGGUGGAGCUAUUCAAGAUUUAGCUAAAGUAAGGGAUUUCCCAACAUUUACAGCAAUAAUUAUUGAAGGAAAUCACUAUGAAAUCAAAUGAUUUUAUACUUAUGAAAACAGAGCAAUAAACAUAGUUGUUUUACAAGAUGUUGUAGUUGAUCUCAAAUCUAACACAAAAAUUGCACCCAUUGAAUCUAUUCAACCUUAUAUUCCUACAUACUACUUCAAUUUUAUUGACUAUGCAUAUAUUAUCACCAAGUUAAAAGGAUCUAGAAUUCUUACAGAUGUUUUUGGAAGACUAAAAGCAUUGCAGCCACUCGAACAAGUUAUGGUUCAUGGACAUAUGCUCGAAAAUAAAAGAGAAUUCAUGCUUGAGAACACACGUGGUGAGUAGCUUCGCAUAACUCUUUGGGGUGAUAAUGCCCGAUACUUUGAUUAACUCGCUCUUCGCAACCUACCAUCUCCAGUCAUCAUUGUGUUUGUUGGAUUUCAUGUCACAAAAUUUAAGGGAAAACCAAAUCUUAAAGGUACAACUGCCUCUUUUUGGUACUUCAAUCCAGACAUACUAGAAUGCUUAACAUAUAA